rnacentral:lncRNA from 1 species
GAAAACCUAUGUGAUAAGUGUAUAACAACGACACACUACUAGAAAUAUUUGUUUUCUUGCGAAAAAUAUCUGCAGGAAUACAUGUAGAUUUUCGUGCCAAUUUAAGUCAUAGAAGGGAUGUUCAUGCGGAUACAGAAUUCGUAGAGAAAUCAUUAGGAAAGUCUUGUUUUUGUUACGGAGUUGCGUACGACAAUUAAUCGCAGGAAAUAUCUGCAGCAAAAUCGUAAGGAAAUUUACUAUCUUAUUAAAGCCCUAGGCAUAACGGAUUGCUACGAGAGUGGAACGUUACCAUAGAUACCAUAUUAUGUCGAAAGACAUAUAAGUGUUUCCACAAAACCAUACUCCAUUGUUAAGAUAUGUUAUGAUUAUUAUCCUUGUCAUAUUGAGGAACAAAAUAGAAUAUUUAUUGGGUACAAAGCCAUAAUUGCAAGGUCCAUAAAAUUACAAAAUGAAAUAUUAAACAAAUACAUUUAUUGGGUGCAAAAUAGAUUUAUUUUAGCAUAGAUUUAUUUUCUUAAUAUAUUCUAGCAUAAGAUAUAUUGCAUAGAUUUAUUUUCUUAGUAUAUGAACUUAUUUGUCCCUGCAUCGCAUUUGAUUACAAUCAUCAUCAUUUUGGUACUACUGCUUCUAGUGUCCCGUCUUUAAGAAACUGACAUGUGUUCUUAUAACACCUCCACGUAUAAGGAACACUGGGUGUAUUACUUUUUGGACAAUCAUCAUCAGUGUCACAUUUAAGUGCUGUAAAAAAAAUAUGAUAAUAAAAUAAUAUUAUUGAAAUGGAUACAAAAUUUUGGACGAACUACAAAGUAAAGAAAGAAACGUUAAAAUGAUGAAAAAUGACUUACCAUUUGUAACAAGUAAUAGGGAAAUAAAUAAAAGGACCACAUAAACAAACUUGAUAGUUUGAACCAUAUUUUUAUCUCUUUGUAUGUAACAAAGAAUAUGAUUUUAUCACUUUAUAGUGUAUAAUGUUUAUGUUAUAAUAAAGAAAUUAAAUAUUUAUAAUGGUCCAGUUAUUGUAAAAAUACUUUUAUAAUUGC